GACGAACGCUGGCGGCGUGCUUAACACAUGCAAGUCGAACGGUAAGGCUCCAGCUUGCUGGGGUACACGAGUGGCGAACGGGUGAGUAACACGUGGGUGACCUGCCCUGCACUUCGGGAUAAGCCUGGGAAACUGGGUCUAAUACCGGAUAGGACCAUGGUGUGGAUACUGUGGUGGAAAGUUUUUUCGGUGUGGGAUGGGCCCGCGGCCUAUCAGCUUGUUGGUGGGGUAAUGGCCUACCAAGGCGGCGACGGGUAGCCGGCCUGAGAGGGUGGACGGCCACAUUAGGACUGAGACACGGCCCAGACUCCUACGGGAGGCAGCAGUGGGGAAUAUUGCACAAUGGGCGGAAGCCUGAUGCAGCGACGCCGCGUGGGGGAUGACGGCCUUCGGGUUGUAAACUCCUUUCACCAUCGACGAAGGGUUUCUGACGGUAGAUGGAGAAGAAGCACCGGCUAACUACGUG
rnacentral:rRNA from 1 species